UCCUUUAGUACGGCGAGUGAAGCGGCAAAAGCUCAAAUUUGAAAUCUGGUACCUUCGGUGCCCGAGUUGUAAUUUGGAGAGGGCAACUUUGGGGCCGUUCCUUGUCUAUGUUCCUUGGAACAGGACGUCAUAGAGGGUGAGAAUCCCGUGUGGCGAGGAGUGCGGUUCUUUGUAAAGUGCCUUCGAAGAGUCGAGUUGUUUGGGAAUGCAGCUCUAAGUGGGUGGUAAAUUCCAUCUAAAGCUAAAUAUUGGCGAGAGACCGAUAGCGAACAAGUACAGUGAUGGAAAGAUGAAAAGAACUUUGAAAAGAGAGUGAAAAAGUACGUGAAAUUGUUGAAAGGGAAGGGCAUUUGAUCAGACAUGGUGUUUUGUGCCCUCUGCUCCUUGUGGGUAGGGGAAUCUCGCAUUUCACUGGGCCAGCAUCAGUUUUGGUGGCAGGAUAAAUCCAUAGGAAUGUAGCUUGCCUCGGUAAGUAUUAUAGCCUGUGGGAAUACUGCCAGCUGGGACUGAGGACUGCGACGUAAGUCAAGGAUGCUGGCAUAAUGGUUAUAUGCCGCCCGUCUUGAACCCCCGACACACA
rnacentral:rRNA from 1 species